rnacentral:lncRNA from 1 species
UAUACAGGCAUAUCCCAAAGUUAUGUCACCUUUUAAGUUCCAGAAUUAUUCCAUAACUCAAAUGUUCAUAAAUUGGAGCACCUGUCUUUUUUUCACUUAUCAGUAUAUGUAAUGCACUGCAGUUGUCAUGCACAUGUAUAAUUAACAUUAAUGAAGCAUUUACAACUAAAGAAAUACUGUAGGCUUUAUUUUGAGAAAAUAAAGCAUUCUCUCUUUUCUCAAAAUAAGGUCUACAGCUGCUGCUGAAGAGCCAUAACUCCAAAUUAAACACCAAAACUUUGGGGAAUGGCAGCAAUUUAGAAUGUAAGUCCAAAGUGCCAUGAAUGGAGGAGUCAUAACUUAGGAUGUGACUGUAAAGUUUGAUCAUUUAAGAAUUCACCAUAAAUUUAUUUAAUCAACAUUAAAUUAAUAUACUAUAAUAAUACACACAGAUUGAUGAAUUUAUGCUUAAUAAAUUUCAAAUGAUAGAUUGUUUAAUAAUAUAGAAUUACCAAUAUAUAGGCUGGCCAAAAUUUAACUCCUUUCACACUUCUGUGUAGAAAUAUUUUUGGCCAACCUAGUUGAUCAGAAUUGCAAAAACAAUUUUAUUUAAAAACCAGAAAUUAGAAACAGUAAUGGUAUUAAUGAUCAUCUGUAAAAAUAUGAUGUAGAAUAAUAUCUGUAGUGGAGUUGACACAUGAUCCCAAUUGUGUACACAAUGCUGCCAACCAUUUGGGCAUGUGUCAAAAUGACUCAGCUAGCAACUUUGACAAAGGCUUCCUACUGCAAACUAAUUAUACACGCAUUGAGAUCAACAAGAAUGCGUGUCCAGAGGAAAACAGUUAAAUGGAGUGAUGGCUGUGCCUCUCGAAUCUCCACGUAUACAGCAAAUCAAAUAACAAAGAACGAUGCACCGACUCAGCUGGCCAAUCGAUCAAAAAUUGAAAUGCAAGGUUUUAAUUUUAACAGCUUCCAAAUAAAUAUCUAAAAUUUUAAAUGUAUUUAUUGACAGAUGGCACCUGUGUUUUUAUUUUUAAACUGCACUUUAAAGCUAAUAAAAAAAAUUAAAAAUUCGUAGCUAUAUAAAGUUGCCUCCCAAUUUAGGAGUUCUUGGAUUUGCCAGUACUUUUUCAGGUAUGAAGCGUAAAAAAAUUGAAAGUAUGAACAUUAAUUGCAAUAAAUAAAUACUAAACAUUCAUAAAAGG